rnacentral:rRNA from 1 species
GACGAACGCUGGCGGCGUGCUUAACACAUGCAAGUCGAACGGAAAGGCCCUGCUUUUGUUGGGUGCUCGAGUGGCGAACGGGUGAGUAACACGUGAGUAACCUGCCCUUGACUUUGGGAUAACUUCAGGAAACUGGGGCUAAUACCGGAUAGGAUCUCCUGCUGCGUGGUGGGGGUUGGAAAGUUUCGGCGGUUGUGGCUGGACUCGCGGCUUAUGAGCUUGUUGGUGGGGUAGUGGCUUACCAAGGCUUUGACGGGUAGCCGGCCUGGGAGGGGGAACGGGCACCAUGGGCCUGAGAUACGGCCCAGAAUCCUACGGGAGGCAGUAGGGGGGAAUAUUGCAGAAUGGGGGGAAGCGUGUUGUAGAAACGCUGCGUGCGGGAUGCCGUCUUUCGGGUUGUAAACAGCUUUGGAAGGAGCUGAAGAGUGAGUGACGGUAAUGGGUAAAGAAGCCCCGGCUAACUACGUG